rnacentral:rRNA from 1 species
AGUGAACGCUGGCGGCAGGCCUAACACAUGCGAGUCGAACGGCAGCACAAGAGAGCUUGCUCUCUGGGUGGCGAGUGGCGGACGGGUGAGGAAUGCAUCGGAAUCUGCCCAUUUGUGGGGGAUAACCUCGGGAAACCGGGACUAAUACCGCAUACGACCUACGGGUGAAAGCAGGGGAUCUUCGGACCUUGCGCAGAUGGAUGAGCCGAUGCCGGAUUAGCUAGUUGGAGGGGUAAAGGCCCACCAAGGCGACGAUCCGUAGCUGGUCUGAGAGGAUGAUCAGCCACACUGGGACUGAGACACGGCCCAGACUCCUACGGGAGGCAGCAGUGGGGAAUAUUGGACAAUGGGCGCAAGCCUGAUCCAGCCAUGCCGCGUGUGUGAAGAAGGCCUUCGGGUUGUAAAGCACUUUUGUUGGGAAAGAAAAGCAGCCGGUUAAUACCCGGUUGUCAUGACGGUACCAAAAGAAUAAGCACCGGCUAACUUCGUG